rnacentral:rRNA from 1 species
AUUGAACGCUGGCGGCAUGCCUUACACAUGCAAGUCGAACGGCAGCAUGGGUGCUUGCACCUGAUGGCGAGUGGCGAACGGGUGAGUAAUGCAUCGGAACGUACCCGGAAGUGGGGGAUAACGUAGCGAAAGUUACGCUAAUACCGCAUAUUCUGUGAGCAGGAAAGCGGGGGAUCGCAAGACCUCGCGCUUCCGGAGCGGCCGAUGUCGGAUUAGCUAGUUGGCGGGGUAAAGGCCCACCAAGGCAACGAUCCGUAGCGGGUCUGAGAGGAUGAUCCGCCACACUGGGACUGAGACACGGCCCAGACUCCUACGGGAGGCAGCAGUGGGGAAUUUUGGACAAUGGGGGCAACCCUGAUCCAGCCAUGCCGCGUGAGUG